rnacentral:rRNA from 1 species
AUUGAACGCUGGCGGCAUGCCUUACACAUGCAAGUCGAACGGCAGCACGGGGGCAACCCUGGUGGCGAGUGGCGAACGGGUGAGUAACGCAUCGGAACGUGCCCAGUUGUGGGGGAUAACCAGUCGAAAGACUGGCUAAUACCGCAUACGACCUACGGGUGAAAGCGGGGGAUCGCAAGGCCUCGCGCUAUUGGAGCGGCCGAUGUCUGAUUAGCUGGUUGGCGGGGUAAGAGCCCACCAAAGCGACGAUCAGUAGCUGGUCUGAGAGGACGACCAGCCACACUGGGACUGAGACACGGCCCAGACUCCUACGGGAGGCAGCAGUGGGGAAUUUUGGACAAUGGGCGCAAGCCUGAUCCAGCCAUGCCGCGUGCGGGAAGAAGGCCUUCGGGUUGUAAACCGCUUUUGGCAGGAACGAAACGGCGACUCCUAAUACGGGUCGUUAAUGACGGUACCUGCAGAAUAAGCACCGGCUAACUACGUGCCAGCAGCCGCGGUAACAC